UUGGCACAUUGGCACAUUGAUUGAUUUAUUGUUGCUAGCCUGUACUACGGGCCUGGGAUGCCUUACAUGAAUGCACUUCUAGUUUAGACAUUACAGUCAGGCUGUCUUGUAGACUGCUCAGGGGUCCUGUUAUGGGGCCGAUCAGGUAGUGACACAGCGUACCGUAAUGUUCUGAAUAUCCAUUGUGCGGAGCGGCUCCGUUGCUUACCAAAGUCGUACUUACAUAUUUCGACAGACUUUUGAGCGCAUUGUACCACAUAAAAGCGGUCGGGAAGCACUAGUAAUCAUACAUAAGGCGAGCUAGAUUAUAAGGCGCACUGUCAAUUUUUGAGAAAAAAAGGGAUUUUAAGCACACCUUAUUGUUUGAAAAAUACUGUAAGUAUAAUAACUGGAGAAAGAAAAAUAUCAAAUCUGAUUCUUCAGACCAUGGCGCAGUUCUCUAUUUUGCCAGGGUUUACCUUAAACAAGCUUGGGCUUAAAGAUUCUGAUCAUGUGUAUACACGUCUUUCUCUUCACAUGGUACACCUACAUUUGUGGAUGCAGCGACAAACUGUAAUCACAGAUAAAAAUCAUGUCUGUUUUUUGUAGUGCUACCAAAGAUCAUAGUCAUCCAGAAUCAGUUUUUGACCUUGUCUUUUUUGUGCAUAGUUUUCUCCAGAUUUUCUGAAUCUUUUCUUGAUACUUGGUCCCGUAGAUGAUAAGAUCCCCAAGUUCUUAAAGGAACGGUGUUCUGAAACUGCUGGACGAUUUCCUUACCCAAUCUCUUAUGAAGUUGUAAACCUCUACUCACAUUUACUUCUAAGACACUCAGCUUUUCUGAGUGCUCAUUUACAUGCAGUCAUGUCACCAACUUGUUGCAGAUUUUCGUAAAUAUAUGGAAGAUGUUCAUCCAGGUGUGUUUUUAAACUUACAUAACCUUUACAACGUUCGUAUCACAACUUUUUCAAACAUCAAAAUUAGAAUAGAUUUAUCAUAAAACAGUAAAAAAAAUUUCAGUACACCAAGAACAGGUUUUGUAUCGGACAGAAGGGUCAACCAUGAUUUGUGUUCAUGGUCAAUUAUGGAUGAAAAUGUAAUGGAGUAUGGCAUCAAAACAAAUAAGAUAACAGUUGGUUCUACCACCUUAAAUUGUAAGUAUGUUAUAACCCAGCCUGACACACACACACACACACACACACACACACACACACACACACACACACACACACACACACACACACACACACACACACACACACACACAGAGUAUUGGACAGCUCUUUGAAUUGCCGGGGUUCCCUUAAAAGCCUGUGCGGGGGACAGACACAGAGAAAGAAAGAAAGAGAGACAGGCAUCACUUAACACUUGGUCACUGCUGAGUCCCUUUUUUAUCUCGGGGAAUGCCCUUCGUGCUCCUUUCUCUGUUUCACAGAAAACACUCAGACUUUUGCUUUUAGUACACUUUCUAAAUACUCCCGCUGAGAAACAAAGAAGCUGAAGUAGACCUUUAUGAGAGAGCUAAUGCAUUGGCUACUAGCCAGAGGAUAUGCUACGGGCAUGGGGAGCAGUUUGAGGAAUCCAGGCUAUAAAAUAGUGUACAGCAGGCUCUUUCAAGUUUGGGAAUGGGUAAUUUAAGGAAUGUGGGGCUAUAUCUCACUCACCUGUGAGACAAGAGGUGGGUCCAGAUUUCAUGUCAGCUUUAGUAGCCGUGGAAUGGAUGAAGGAGAAAGAGGUCUGGUACAGUACAAUGGUCUUGGCUUAAGCUAUGGAGGCUGUUUGUCAUGUGGACAUUCACCUUAAAGGAUGGGUAUUAUACUUUUCCACAUUUACAACAAAAAUGUAAAGUUACAGUGUUUAGUGUCCCCAUACUAGAUGUAUUUAAUUUUUUUAAAUCAGGAGGUAAAUGUAUGUUGUAAUCAUCCUAGAAAAUGGAUAUAAACUGCUCAAAAUGGUUUGUCCUGAGAUCACACAAGACUCAAUGAGCUAAUGAUGGGGGGGGGGGGGGGGGGACUUGGAGAGACAGCAGCUUAA
rnacentral:lncRNA from 1 species